rnacentral:rRNA from 1 species
UACGAAGGGGGCGAGCGUUGUUCGGAUUUACUGGGCGUAAAGGGCUCGUAGGCGGCCAACUAAGUCAGACGUGAAAUCCCUCGGCUUAACCGGGGAACUGCAUCUGAUACUGGAUGGCUUGAGAUUGGGAGAGGGAUGCGGAAUUCCAGGUGUAGCGGUGAAAUGCGUAGAUAUCUGGAAGGAACACCGGUGGCGAAGGCGGCUCUCUGGACGGUGACUGACGCUGAGACGACGAAAGCGUGGGGAGCAACAG